rnacentral:rRNA from 1 species
UACGAAGGGGGCUAGCGUUGUUCGGAAUUACUGGGCGUAAAGCGCACGUAGGCGGAUAUUUAAGUCAGGGGUGAAAUCCCAGAGCUCAACUCUGGAACUGCCUUUGAUACUGGGUAUCUCGAGUAUGGAAGAGGUGAGUGGAAUUCCGAGUGUAGAGGUGAAAUUCGUAGAUAUUCGGAGGAACACCAGUGGCGAAAGGCGGCUCACUGGUCCAUUACUGACGCUGAGGUGCGAAAGCGUGGGGAGCAAACAGG